rnacentral:rRNA from 1 species
AGAGUUUGAUCAUGGCUCAGAUUGAACGCUGGCGGCAGGCCUAACACAUGCAAGUCGAACGGUAACAGGAAGCAGCUUGCUGCUUUGCUGACGAGUGGCGGACGGGUGAGUAAUGUCUGGGAAACUGCCUGAUGGAGGGGGAUAACUACUGGAAACGGUGGCUAAUACCGCAUAACGUCGCAAGACCAAAGAGGGGGACCUUCGGGCCUCUUGCCAUCAGAUGUGCCCAGAUGGGAUUAGCUUGUUGGUGAGGUAACGGCUCACCAAGGCGACGAUCCCUAGCUGGUCUGAGAGGAUGACCAGCCACACUGGAACUGAGACACGGUCCAGACUCCUACGGGAGGCAGCAGUGGGGAAUAUUGCACAAUGGGCGCAAGCCUGAUGCAGCCAUGCCGCGUGUAUGAAGAAGGCCUUCGGGUUGUAAAGUACUUUCAGCGGGGAGGAAGGUGUUGUGGUUAAUAACCGCAGCAAUUGACGUUACCCGCAGAAGAAGCACCGGCUAACUCCGUGCCAGCAGCCGCGGUAAUACGGAGGGUGCAAGCGUUAAUCGGAAUUACUGGGCGUAAAGCGCACGCAGGCGGUCUGUCAAGUCGGAUGUGAAAUCCCCGGGCUCAACCUGGGAACUGCAUUCGAAACUGGCAGGCUUGAGUCUUGUAGAGGGGGGUAGAAUUCCAGGUGUAGCGGUGAAAUGCGUAGAGAUCUGGAGGAAUACCGGUGGCGAAGGCGGCCCCCUGGACAAAGACUGACGCUCAGGUGCGAAAGCGUGGGGAGCAAACAGGAUUAGAUACCCUGGUAGUCCACGCCGUAAACGAUGUCUACUUGGAGGUUGUGCCCUUGAGGCGUGGCUUCCGGAGCUAACGCGUUAAGUAGACCGCCUGGGGAGUACGGCCGCAAGGUUAAAACUCAAAUGAAUUGACGGGGGCCCGCACAAGCGGUGGAGCAUGUGGUUUAAUUCGAUGCAACGCGAAGAACCUUACCUGGUCUUGACAUCCACAGAACUUUCCAGAGAUGGAUUGGUGCCUUCGGGAACUGUGAGACAGGUGCUGCAUGGCUGUCGUCAGCUCGUGUUGUGAAAUGUUGGGUUAAGUCCCGCAACGAGCGCAACCCUUAUCCUUUGUUGCCAGCGGUCCGGCCGGGAACUCAAAGGAGACUGCCAGUGAUAAACUGGAGGAAGGUGGGGAUGACGUCAAGUCAUCAUGGCCCUUACGACCAGGGCUACACACGUGCUACAAUGGCGCAUACAAAGAGAAGCGACCUCGCGAGAGUAAGCGGACCUCAUAAAGUGCGUCGUAGUCCGGAUUGGAGUCUGCAACUCGACUCCAUGAAGUCGGAAUCGCUAGUAAUCGUGGAUCAGAAUGCCACGGUGAAUACGUUCCCGGGCCUUGUACACACCGCCCGUCACACCAUGGGAGUGGGUUGCAAAAGAAGUAGGUAGCUUAACCUUCGGGGGGG